AGUGAACGCUGGCGGCAGGCCUAACACAUGCAAGUCGAACGGCAGCACAGAGGAGCUUGCUCCUUGGGUGGCGAGUGGCGGCCGGGUGAGGAAUGCGUCGGAAUCUGCCUAUUUGUGGGGGAUACCGUAGGGAAACUUACGCUAAUACCGCAUACGACCUACGGGUGAAAGUGGGGGACCUUCGGGCCUCACGCAGAUAGAUGAGCCGACGCGGGAUUAGCUAGUUGGCGGGGUAAAGGCCCACCAAGGCGACGAUCCGUAGCUGGUCUGCUAGGAUGAUCAGGCGCACUGGGACUGGGACACGGCCCAGACUCCUACGGGAGGCAGCAGUGGGGAAUAUUGGACAAUGGGCGCAAGCCUGAUCCAGCCAUGCCGCGUGUGUGAAGAAGGCCUUCGGGUUGUAAAGCACUUUUGUCCGGAAAGAAAUCCUUUCGAUUAAUACUCGGAAGAGAUGACGGUACCGGAAGAAUAAGCACCGGCUAACUUCGUGCCAGCCGCCGCGGUAACAC
rnacentral:rRNA from 1 species